AUCAUCACAAGCAAAACUGAGACAUGUUUCUUAAAGCUAUUGUAUUGUUGGCACUAGUGGCCACCCUGGCGGUGGUUAGCCCUGUCGCAGCGCAAAUACCAAUUUCCAUGAGACCGCAUAUUGAUACCGAUACUGGUAUCAUCGAUACUCCACCAGCUGCGCAUAUUUCAGAAACCAUACCAGUGGACAUUCCAAUAGCUGGAUGAUUGAAAAUCUCAAGUUUGAGGGUACUUCAGGAUGCACUUCACAUGUCAGAUAUGAAGAGGCAAUUGGUAUAUUCUUUGAAAAAGUGAAUAAAUAUUUAAAAUAUACUGCACGAUA